UGGCAACUCUGCAUCAAGCAAGUCUGUUGGUGACAUUUUUCCAACAGCAUGUGCUCACUUCAUGUCUCUGUGUCACAUUUUGUUGCAAUAAAGUAUUUUU